rnacentral:rRNA from 1 species
GUAGGUGGCAGAGUAUGUCUGUAGUGAAAGCGUGUGGCUCAACCAUAUACACAUUACAGAAACUGCUCAGCUAGAGGGCGAGAGAGGUUACUAGAAUUCCUAGUGUAGGAGUGAAAUCCGUAGAUAUUAGGAGGAAUACCGAUGGCGUAGGCAGGUAACUGGCUCGUCCCUGACACUAAGGCACGAAAGCGUGGGUAGCAAACGGGAUUAGAUACCCCGGUAGUCCACGCCGUAAACGAUGGAUGCUAGCUGUAAGAGGUAUCGACCCCUCUUGUAGCGAAGCUAACGCGUUAAGCAUCCCGCCUGUGGAGUACGGUCGCAAGACUAAAACAUAAAGGAAUUGACGGGGACCCGCACAAGCGGUGGAGCGUGUUGUUUAAUUCGAUGGUAAACGAAGAACCUUACCCAGGUUUGACAUCCUUGGAAUUUUUCCGAAAGGAAAGAGUGCUUUUAGAGCCAAGUGACAGGUGUUGCAUGGCCGUCGUCAGCUCGUGUCGUGAGAUGUUUGGUUAAGUCCAUCAACGAGCGCAACCCUUAUAGUCUGUUGUAUUUUUCAGGCUAGACUGCCCCGGUAACGGGGAGGAAGGAGGGGAUGAUGUCAGGUCAGUAUUACCCUUACAUCUGGGGCUACAAACACGCUACAAUGGCCGGUACAAAGGGCUGCCAAGUCGCGAGACGGAGCAAAUCCCAUCAAAGCCGGUCCCAGUUCGGAUAGCAGGCUGAAACUCGCCUGCUUGAAGUCGGAAUCGCUAGUAACGGUAGGUCAGCUAUACUACCGUGAAUACGUUCCCGGGUCUUGUACACACCGCCCGUCAAACCAUGAAAGUCGGGGGUACCUGACGUGUGAGCUUCGCCUCGCCCUAAGGUAAACUCGAUGAUUGGGGUU